ensembl:snRNA U4 U4 spliceosomal RNA
AGCUUUGCGCAAUGGCAGUGUCGUAGCCAAUGAGGUUUAUCUGAGGUGCAAUUAUUGCUAAUUAUUAUGAGGUCAAAUAAUUUUGUCCUCUGCAGCCUAAUAUAUUAGUUAUUUUUGUUAUUUCAUUAUAUUAGGGUGAG